rnacentral:snRNA from 1 species
UUGCUUUGGCAGCACAUAUAUUAAAGUGGAACAAUACAGAAAAGAUUAGCAUAGUCCCCGUACAAAAGUUCAAGGUAGUCAGGCGUGGUGGAGCUCUCUGGU